rnacentral:rRNA from 1 species
GAUGAACGCUGGCGGCGUGCCUAAUACAUGCAAGUCGAGCGAACAGACGAGGAGCUUGCUCCUCUGACGUUAUCGGCGGACGGGUGAGUAACACGUGGAUAACCUACCUAUAAGACUGGGAUAACUUCGGGAAACCGGAGCUAAUACCGGAUAAUAUAUUGAACCGCAUGGUUCAAUAGUGAAAGACGGUUUUGCUGUCACUUAUAGAUGGAUCCGCGCCGCAUUAGCUAGUUGGUAAGGUAACGGCUUACCAAGGCAACGAUGCGUAGCCGACCUGAGAGGGUGAUCGGCCACACUGGAACUGAGACACGGUCCAGACUCCUACGGGAGGCAGCAGUAGGGAAUCUUCCGCAAUGGGCGAAAGCCUGACGGAGCAACGCCGCGUGAGUGAUGAAGGUCUUCGGAUCGUAAAACUCUGUUAUUAGGGAAGAACAAAUGUGUAAGUACCUAUGAACGUCUUGACGGUACCUAAUCAGAAAGCCACGGCUAACUACGUG